rnacentral:rRNA from 1 species
UACGGGGGGGGCAAGCGUUGUUCGGAAUUACUGGGCGUAAAGGGCUCGUAGGUGGCCAACUAAGUCAGACGUGAAAUCCCUCGGCUUAACCGGGGAACUGCGUCUGAUACUGGAUGGCUGGAGAUUGGGAGAGGGAUGCGGAAUUCCAGGUGUAGCGGUGAAAUGCGUAGAUAUCAGGAGGAACACCGGUGGCGAAGGCGGGAUCCUGGGCCAGUACUGACGCUGAGGAGCGAAAGCGUGGGGAGCGAACAGG